UACGUAGGAUGCGAGCGUUAAUCGGAAUUACUGGGCGUAAAGGGUGCGCAGGCGGCGUCGCAAGUCAGGCGUGAAAUCCCCGGGCUUAACCUGGGAACUGCACUUGAAACUACGAUGCUGGAGUAUGGCAGAGGGAGGUGGAAUUCCACGUGUAGCGGUGAAAUGCGUAGAGAUGUGGAGGAACACCGAUGGCGAAGGCAGCCUCCUGGGCCAAUACUGACGCUCAUGCACGAAAGCGUGGGGAGCAAACAGG
rnacentral:rRNA from 1 species